CCCCCCACUGCUUCCCAUACUGCCAGAGGCUGGGGCAGCCCCCCGGCCACCAUGUUCCGCCAGCAGGAUGGCUCCUGUCAGCCAGGUGUGUGGGGCCUGGGCACACUGGCAAGAAGCAGGGAGGGCAGCCCAGACCCAGCCGCCCCAUGGCUGCUCUGGGAGACUGUGUCCCUGUUGGAGACUGUGAUAGAUCCACGAUCCGUCCCAGCCAUUGCUCCAUCUGUCUUGUCCGUCAACCCCUCUGCCAGUAUCAUAUGGUAAAUAGUACCAUGAAUACUACAGUUCCAGGCACCCAGGUCACAUCAGAGAACUGACGAGUUAGAGUUUAACGACACAGUUUGUAGCUCAGCUGGUGACUGGGCGGCAUUGCUGCUUGGUUGUUGUCAAGCCUCCCCAAGGUCUAAGGUCACCAGCAGGAAUGCCUCGGAAGGAGAGGGCAUAACUGUAGUUCUAGGAGUCUGAGGCCAUUUAACCUUUUUCACUUUCAUGCAGCAGAGGCAGCGACCACUGGAGAGGGACACUAAGGACUGCUCCUGGAUCUUGUUUAAACACAAGGAGCUGGGUUUCGAAGACUCCACGAGGGACUUUAGGACCCUGCGUUACUUAUCGACAUCAAAAGAGAGAAGAUAAAGCCUCACAAUUCUUCCUCCCACUUCCUCAGGUGACCAAUGCUGCUUUUAUUGUGGAACGGGUUUGCCACAAAGCCUCAGGCUGAUAGAUAAGACUCGGGUCUCUGAAAAAUGACAGCUUGACAUCAAACCAACAAAAUCAAUUUCCAAAUUGAUUAAAACCAUUCUCAAAUAAAACUCCGCUGGCUUUCUCGAAUCCCAUUGUAAAAGGUCAUCUGGGAAGUAAGUACCAUAUUUGUUUUAAGUUAGCAGGAGCCCGCAGCGCACUUGAGACCCUACAGUUUCGGGGCCAGGCUGGGCUGACUGGGCCCACACAUGCCUCCGCCCUCACCACAGCCCCCAGCUCCAGGGUGCCCACCAGAGCCAGGGCAGGAAGCCACCUCCAGGCUGGCCCUUCGUCUUGGCUCUUUGAAAACCUUUGGGUGAGGUGUGUCUCUCGGAUCAAAUAAACAAUCAACAAUUGGCUGCUGCCAUUAAGGGAGAGGGUUACUGCUGAGGGAGACAUAUCCUGGGGGCAUUUUGUGUGAUUAUGGGGUGAUUUAUGAUUCAUAGAGAUCAAGCGAUAAACGUACUGAAAUGCCAAGAAAGAAAAUUGGAGAGAAAAAUUGCUACAAAUGUUAUUCUUAUUUUUUUAAGGAGAUUUAUUUUAUUUGCAAGAUUUGUAAUUGAUGCAAAGCCUGUAAAUGCAGGUGCCCCACGGUCAAAUCCUCUCCCUUCCAGACCCUUCGUAAAGGCGUGACCUGCUUCAAGCAACGCGAUAUUUGAAAAAAUGAAAUCUACACAUCGAGACACAUUAAGAGUGACUGUUCGCGUGACAAAAGGGUUUGCCACUUUACAAAAGAUUCAUCCCAGUGUUUCUUAAAGAACUAUACAACUGCGAUGUAUUUUAAAUGUCUUUCAAUUAAAAGAAUUGACUCAUGCUC
rnacentral:lncRNA from 1 species